ACAGCAUAGAAAACGUUUCGUUUAUUAUGCUGUGGAUUAGGAUUAUUAUUAUUAUUUUAUUUACAAUGUAAAUUGAAACAAUAAAUAUUGUGCUGUGUCAUAAUUUCAAACUCAUUAUGUUGCAGUCUUUUCCAGUUGAUAAAAUUGCAAUUCAAAAACUUUUAGAUUUGCACUGUAUGGAUGGCACAGGAAGAGAACAAGAACAUGAAACAUCUUAUUAUGAAUGUAUAUGUAUGUGAUCCUCAAAAAAUUAUUUUACAAAACAAGAUAGAGAAAGAGCUUUAAAAUCCCAAGGAUCCUGCAAAAUGUUUAUUUGGUGUACUAGUCGAAUAAUAGUAUCUAAAAAUAUUGAAACUAUUUUAAAACACAUUACGGGCAUGAGGAUGAUAAAGAGCACUUACAUAAAUACCAAAAUCAGAUAAAUAUCUCUUCAAAGUUUAUUUUGAGACUUUCUUCAAAAAUUAAACUUCAGACUGUUCAGGAUAGCAUAAUAGCAUAGGAGGCGAAUUAAAAAGAAUUGAUUUACUUACAAGAAAAGAUAUCACAAACAUUAAACUCUCUUAUGGCAUUGAUUUGAAAGAUGGGUAUAUGUACAAUGAUGAUGCAACCAGUGUUUAUUUUUGGGUUGAAUGCUUACAGACUCAUGUCCAAUAUUAUUUUACAAACAACAGGGCAUACUAAUGGAUAUUCAUUCUGAAUUUAACAUUUAUGAUUUUUGUCUUAUUUUCCUUAGUACUGUGCCAAAAGGAAAUGUUAAUUAAGUUUGGUAAAUCCUUUAUCGCAAUCGAUGGAACUCAUGGGCUCAAUUCCUAUGACUUUGAACUUAUGACAGUAUUAGUAAAAGAUGAAUUUGGGAAUGGAUUUUGUACUGCUUUCUUAUUUUCAAAUAGAAAAGAUACCUACUUUAAUUUACCAAUUUUUUUAAAUACAUGUCUGUGUUGGUAUUAUAUGUAUAGUCAAAUGUUUUCAUAUCAGGCAUAAGCGACACCUUUUACAAUGCCUCGUCAAAUGUAAUGGGUAUUGCUCCUAAUAGACUGUUAAGUGCCUGGCACAUAGAUAGGGCAUGGUAAGUAAAUCUUAAUAAAACAUCUGAUUCUGAAAAAAAUCCUAUUAUGUAUACAAGAUGUAUUAAUGAUGGUUUAGAGAGUAUUAAUAGCUUUUUGGGUAGACUUCUAAGUGAUGCAGAUACAUACAAUUUUAGUAAGUAUUUCCAGUAGAACUACUGCAAUAACAUCCAACAAUGGGCCUAUUGUUAUAGGAAGGGGUUGUGGAAUUAAUACCAAUAUGACCAUUCAAAAUUUUCAUAAAAUUUUGGAUAAAAGGGUAUCCAUUAGUUGUUAUCAGUUAAGUUUAAAACUUGGCACUCAUGGAGAGCUAUACCAUAAUAUAUAAUAGGUAUAUCUCAUAAUAUUACAUCUCAUAUUGCUCACUCAUUACAAUAGUGAGCAAUAUGAGAUAUAACAUAUUAUAGUAUAAGUCUCUGUGCAUGACCAGAUUAACAUGUUUGGUGCCCAUCUCGAACAAGCUCCACUUGGUUGGUACCACAUACUUAAAUCAUUUAUUUAGUUACACAGUACUACUCACAUAACUUAUGUGUUGUCAGUACCUUCCGUAAAACCUUCGUGAUGCUACCCAUACGUCAUGGCCACUGAAUGUGUUAAAGCUUGUUAAUGUAGGAGAGUUAUACUAAAAUAUAUAUCUUAUAUUAUAUUGCCUUAAAUAGAAAAAAUAUCUUAUUUAAAUUGUAUCCAUGUAAGUUUUGAUUUAAUGAAAUAAACCUUUUAAUCAAAAAAGUGUUGUUUACUUGUGUACACCCAGCAAUAUCCUGAUCAUAGAUAAAUAAUAUAGUAUUACCGGAUCCUGAUAUGCAGACGCCAAUAGGGCUUUUCAU